GACGAACGCUGGCGGCGUGCUUAACACAUGCAAGUCGAACGGAAAGGCCCUGCUUUUGUGGGGUGCUCGAGUGGCGAACGGGUGAGUAACACGUGAGUAACCUGCCCUUGACUUUGGGAUAACUUCAGGAAACUGGGGCUAAUACCGGAUAGGAGCUCCUGCUGCAUGGUGGGGGUUGGAAAGUUUCGGCGGUUGGGGAUGGACUCGCGGCUUAUCAGCUUGUUGGUGGGGUAGUGGCUUACCAAGGCUUUGACGGGUAGCCGGCCUGAGAGGGUGAGCGGCCACAUUGGGACUGAGAUACGGCCCAGACUCCUACGGGAGGCAGCAGUGGGGAAUAUUGCACAAUGGGCGGAAGCCUGAUGCAGCAACGCCGCGUGCGGGAUGACAGCCUUCGGGUUGUAAACCGCUUUCGCCUGUGACGAAGCGUGAGUGACGGUAAUGGGUAAAGAAGCACCGGCUAACUACGUG
rnacentral:rRNA from 1 species